rnacentral:rRNA from 1 species
UACAGAGACUGCAAGCGUUAUUCGGAUUCACUGGGCGUAAAGGGUGCGCAGGCGGCCAAGUGUGUCAGGUGUGAAAUCCCGAGCUUAACCUCGGAACUGCGCCUGAAACUACUUGGCUAGAGUACUGGAGAGGGUAACGGAAUUCACGGUGUAGCAGUGAAAUGCGUAGAUAUCGUGAGGAACACCAGAGGCGAAGGCGAUCACCUGGGGUUGUUCUGACGCUGAGGAGCGAAAGCUAGGGAGCAAACGGG